CCGGACAUGAAUUAUCUGGAAACAGGUAAGACCGCAAGGCAUGUAUGAAGGUGCUGCAUGGUUGUCGUCAGCUCGUGCCGUGAGGUGUCGGCUUAAGUGCCAUAACGAGCGCAACCCUUGCUGUCAGUUACUAACAGGUUAAGCUGAGGACUCUGGAGAUACUGCCACCGUAAGGUGUGAGGAAGGUGGGGAUGACGUCAAAUCAGCACGGCCCUUACGUCCGGGGCUACACACGUGUUACAAUGGCCGGUACAGAGGGACGGUGUAAUGUAAAUUGCAUCUAAUCUUGAAAGCCGGUCCCAGUUCGGACUGGGGUCUGCAACCCGACCCCACGAAGCUGGAUUCGCUAGUAAUCGCGCAUCAGCCAUGGCGCGGUGAAUACGUUCCCGGGCCUUGUACACACCGCCCGUCAAGCCAUGAAAGCCGGGGGUGCCUGAAGUCCGUGACCGCAAGGAUCGGCCUAGGGCAAAACUGGUGAUUGGGGCUAAGUCGAAACAAGGUAGCCGUACCGGAAGGUGCGGCUGGAACACCCCGUCGACGCGGCCG
rnacentral:rRNA from 1 species